AUUGAACGCUGGCGGCAUGCCUUACACAUGCAAGUCGAACGGCAGCACGGGAGCUUGCUCCUGGUGGCGAGUGGCGAACGGGUGAGUAAUGCAUCGGAACGUGCCCUGAAGUGGGGGAUAACGUAGCGAAAGUUACGCUAAUACCGCAUAUUCUGUGAGCAGGAAAGCAGGGGAUCUUCGGACCUUGCGCUUUUGGAGCGGCCGAUGUCGGAUUAGCUAGUUGGUGGGGUAAAGGCCCACCAAGGCGACGAUCCGUAGCGGGUCUGAGAGGAUGAUCCGCCACACUGGAACUGAGACACGGUCCAGACUCCUACGGGAGGCAGCAGUGGGGAAUUUUGGACAAUGGGCGCAAGCCUGAUCCAGCCAUGCCGCGUGAGUGAAGAAGGCCUUCGGGUUGUAAAGCUCUUUCGUUGGGGAAGGAAAGUUAGCUUGGGUUAAGUACCCUGAGUAGAUGACGGUA
rnacentral:rRNA from 1 species